rnacentral:lncRNA from 1 species
CUUCCCUCCCUCCUAAAGAAUUUUUGCAAAAGGGCCCCACCCCUGCACAGAUAUGUUGCAGAAAUGCCCACAUCAGCAAGCUUCUCUCAGGGGGUCUUCUUAUUAAAUGCCAAUUAGUUCCGACAGUGGGUGUGUUGAGCUCCGUGCGAUGUUUUACCGACCAUGCUGACACAGACCAGGAGCCCAGCAAUCCUUUCCAGAAACUUCACUCCAUUUCAGUGAAAACCUAAGACCAAUGAGAUGGUUCAUCUGGUAAAGAUACCUGCUGUUAGUCCUGAGGACAUGCGUUCCAAUCCCCAGAACCCAUGGUGGAAGGAAAGAACUAACCCCUGCAAGUUGGCACGUGCACACACACACACUGCAAA